ACUGUUUUCAUGGAAGUGAAUAAGUCUCACAAGAUCUGAUGGUUUUAUAAGAGGAAACCCCUUUUGCUUGGCUCCAAUUCUUCUCCAUGCUUCCCCAUGUAAGAUGUGCCUUUCACCUUCUGCCAUGAUUAUGAGGCCUCCCGAGCCACGUGGAACUAGCUGGAACACCCUUCUUCUCCUGCCUUUGGACAUCAGAACUUCAGAUUCUCUGGCCUUCAGACUUCAAGACUUGCACUAGUGGCCCCCUGGGUUCUCAAGGUUUUGGCCGCCUCGGUUGAGAGUUACACCAUCGGCUUCUUUGGUUCUGAGGCCGUUGGAGUUGGACUGAGCCAUGCUACCAGCUUCCCUGGGUCUCCAGCCUGCAGAUUGCCUACUGUGAGAUUUAGCCUCCAUAAUCACGUGAGCCAAUUCUCUUAACAAAUCACUUCUCAUAUCUUUCUCCUUCUACAUAUCUUAUUGGCUUUGUCUCUGUGGAGAACCCUGAUUAAUACAGCUUCUAAACUGAUAAAUGCUCACUUAUACCCAUUGAGUUGAGAUUGCUUCCUGUCUAGCCUCAAGGCUCUGUCCUCUGAAAGCCACGCUUGGGAUCUUCAGGUAACAGAAUAUUGGCAUGUAGCACUCCUCAAAACAUAGAAAGCAGAAACAAAUCAAUUCUGCCUGGAGGACCUCCCCGAUCUCAACACCCAGUGGUUUUGACAGAAUUGAUAUAGAAAUAGAAGCUUCAAGCAACCUUACGAUGGAGGCAGAAGAAGGAUUCUAUGGUUGGAAACCUGCCAGACUCACAGGCUACGGAGAAGAAAGGCUAAAUCCACCAGACUGUUGGAUGCACCUAAAACAAAUUGCCCUCCGUGGCUUGGUUUCUUAUUAAUAUACUCAUAGAAAUGCACAAGAACUGAAAGCUCGAUAGGGAAACCAAAAAAUAAAAAUUAAAAAAAAAAAGCUGUAAACCAAUGUUUCUUAAAACAUGCUCUGCAGAACACUCGUUUGGUGGAACGUAAAGUGUUCUUUCAUAUUAAAGGAGUUGCGUGUUAA
ensembl:lncRNA novel transcript